rnacentral:rRNA from 1 species
GACAGAGGCCUCAAGCGUUAGGCGGAAUCACUGGGCUUAAAGCGUGUGUAGGCGGGUCGUUAAGUGUCUUGUGAAAUCCCACGGCUCACCCGUGGAACUGCUGGGCAUACUGGCGAUCUUGGGCCAACUAGGGGCAGCCGGAACAAGCGGUGGAGCGGUGAAAUGCGUAGAUAUCGCUUGGAACGCCGAAGGUGAAAACAGGCUGCUGGGGUUGUGCCGACGCUGAGACACGAAAGCCAGGGGAGCAAACGGG